UACGAAGGGGACUAGCGUUGUUCGGAAUUACUGGGCGUAAAGCGCACGUAGGCGGAAUUGUCAGUCAGAGGUGAAAUCCCGGGGCUCAACCUCGGAACUGCCUUUGAUACAGCAAUUCUCGAGUCCGAUAGAGGUGAGUGGAAUUCCUAGUGUAGAGGUGAAAUUCGUAGAUAUUAGGAAGAACACCGGUGGCGAAGGCGGCUCACUGGAUCGGUACUGACGCUGAGGUGCGAAAGCGUGGGGAGCAAACAGG
rnacentral:rRNA from 1 species